GUUCAGGCCUUGCCCCUUCCUCACCUGGGUCGGGAGCCGCGCCGGCUCCGGAAGCGCAGAGCCGCUGGUUGGGGCAGCCCUGACAUGAGGCCCCUCGGCCCGCCUGGGCGCUGCCGGUCCCGGGACAGCCUGCGCGGUGACAAGGUCACAGUUAGAGUGGCUCCUGUCCCUUCAGCCCCACCACCCACGCCCCCCUCCGUGCGCUCACCCUGAGGCACCUCCUCCAUUCGGCCGCCUUCGACGUCUGCGCGGUCACCGGAACCCGCCCUUACGUAUUUCCGCCUCCUGGCGCCCAAUCUGACUCUCCAGGCGCGCCAAGUCACACAGCUCCUAGCGAGGGAGCCAGAGUGAUGAACCUGGGCUGUCAUCCGGGAUACGCGGUGCCAAGUGGCCGUGUGCGAGGUGCUGGCGCCACCAAACCGCCCCGAGUCCUGUCGUCCUGGCACCUAGCCUGGUUGGGGCAGCGGAUGACGAAGCAGGUCACCUCUCUGCAUCAUCCCAUGGAAGCAGGUGCUAAUGGCCUGUGGAAUCCGCGGCCUUCUUUCCUGAACACGGCGGCGUGUUCCAGAAGUCGGAGCCCAGUUUGCUGUAUUUAGCAGCGUGGAAAAGUGUGAACGCCGCAAACUGAACCAGACCCAGCAUUUGAAGAAGUCUGUUUACCUCUCCUUUACAUUUAUUUAGUUUGGGGAGUUUGAUAGGUUUUAAAUUUAAAAUUGUUAUUUCUGUCCCCCCGAUUAAAGGUGGCAGCGACUAAAAGCUA